UCAGAGUGCUUCUCUAGAGUUCUUCUAGUUUAACCUGAGGGGUCAGGUUAACUGACUGAGGGGCCAGGGUCAGAGAAAAGGGUAUCUUUUCUCCCUGGUCACAAGGCUGUAAGUAUGGAAGCCCAGCAUCAAAGAGCCAUGCCCCCACCUAAGAAAGAAGUUGUUCUAAGGAAAAUGAAACCAGUAUACAGACAGCAGGAUGGAACAAUAGUCAAAUGCUUUCGAUGUGCUCAACACAAUGCUAGGCACAGAUGAAUAAGGGUCUGUUCCAAGAAGACACAGAAUGGGAGAAAUGGUCAAAAAUAAAGUGAGCUCCAGGAAGAAAAGGAUCAUCAUUUAUCCUUCCAUGCUGUGUCUUUAGAACCUAGUGUGGUGCCCAGCACAUAGAAGAUCUGCAAGAAAUACAUCUACCAGCUGGGUGCAGUUGAACAAAAUCAUUACAGGAUUAGCAGUUUUCUGACCCACUUACUAAAAAGAAGCUGAAUCACUGAAUUGAGACCCCAGGGAAAUGCAGAUUUAUACCUUUGAUGUAUUUCUUGAUUUUUCUUAAAUUAAAUUCUAU
rnacentral:lncRNA from 1 species